GGUCCAGACUCCUACGGGAGGCAGCAGUGGGGAAUAUUGCACAAUGGGCGCAAGCCUGAUGCAGCCAUGCCGCGUGUAUGAAGAAGGCCUUCGGGUUGUAAAGUACUUUCAGCGGGGAGGAAGGGAGUAAAGUUAAUACCUUUGCUCAUUGACGUUACCCGCAGAAGAAGCACCGGCUAACUCCGUGCCAGCAGCCGCGGUAAUACGGAGGGUGCAAGCGUUAUCCGGAUUUAUUGGGUUUAAAGGGUGCGCGGGCGGAGGCACAGGUCAGGGGUAAAAUCGCGGGGCUCAACCCCGCUCCGCCGUUGAAACUGUGUCCCUUGAGUGCGCGAAGGGUAGGCGGAAUGCGUGGUGUAGCGGUGAAAUGCAUAGAUAUCACGCAGAACUCCGAUCGCGAAGGCAGCCUACCGGCGCGCAACUGACGCUCAUGCACGAAAGCGUGGGUAUCGAACAGGAUUAGAUACCCGAGUAGU
rnacentral:rRNA from 1 species